rnacentral:piRNA from 1 species
UCAAGACCUAAUCUCCGAAUGCGACUAA